UACGUAGGGUGCGAGCAUUGUCCGGAAUUACUGGGCGUAAAGAGCUCGUAGGUGGUUUGUCGCGUUGUCCGUGAAAACUCACAACUCAAUUGUGGGCGUGCGGGCGAUACGGGCAGACUGGAGUACUGCAGGGGAGACUGGAAUUCCUGGUGUAGCGGUGGAAUGCGCAGAUAGUCAGGAGGAACACCGGUGGCGAAGGCGGGUCUCUGGGCAGUGAACUGACGCUGGAGGAGCGAAAGCGUGGGGAGCGAACAGG
rnacentral:rRNA from 1 species